rnacentral:rRNA from 1 species
GAUCAUGGCUCAGGACGAACGCUGGCGGCGUGCCUAAUACAUGCAAGUAGAACGCUGAAGGAGGAGCUUGCUUCUCUGGAUGAGUUGCGAACGGGUGAGUAACGCGUAGGUAACCUGCCUGGUAGCGGGGGAUAACUAUUGGAAACGAUAGCUAAUACCGCAUAAGAGUAGAUGUUGCAUGACAUUUGCUUAAAAGGUGCAAUUGACAUCACUACCAGAUGG